rnacentral:rRNA from 2 species
GUCCUUUAGAAUUUAAUUUAAGGUCUGACCUGCCCACUGAUGUUUUAAAUGGCCGCAGUAUUUUAACUGUGCAAAGGUAGCAUAAUCAUUAGUCUUUUAAUUGGAGGCUUGUAUGAAUGGUUGGACGAAAUAUUAGCUGUUUCAUAUUAAAUUGAAUUAGAAUUUUAUUUUUUAGUUAAAAAGCUAAAAUGGUUUUAAAAGACGAGAAGACCCUAUAGAUCUUUAUAUUUUAUGUAUUAUAGUUAUUUAGAUUAUUUGAAUUAUGAUUAUAUAAAAUAUUUUAUUGGGGUGAUAUUAAAAUUUAAUUAACUUUUAAUUAGUAUUUACAUUAAUUUAUGAAUAAAUGAUCCAUUAAUAGUGAUUAAAAAAUUAAGUUACCUUAGGGAUAACAGCGUAAUUUUUUUGAAGAGUUCAUAUCGAUAAAAAAGAUUGCGACCUCGAUGUUGGAUUAAGAUAUAAUUUUGGGUGCAGCAAUUCAAUUAUUAAGUCUGUUCGACUUUUAAUUUCUUACGUGAUCUGAGUUCA